rnacentral:rRNA from 1 species
AUGAACGCUGGCGGCGUGCCUAAUACAUGCAAGUCGAGCGAACGGACGAGAAGCUUGCUUCUCUGAUGUUAGCGGCGGACGGGUGAGUAACCCGUGGAUAACCUACCUAUAAGACUGGGAUAACUUCGGGAAACCGGAGCUAAUACCGGAUAAUAUUUUGAACCGCAUGGUUCAAAAGUGAAAGACGGUCUUGCUGUCACUUAUAGAUGGAUCCGCGCUGCAUUAGCUAGUUGGUAAGGUAACGGCUUACCAAGGCAACGAUGCAUAGCCGACCUGAGAGGGUGAUCGGCCACACUGGAACUGAGACACGGUCCAGACUCCUACGGGAGGCAGCAGUAGGGAAUCUUCCGCAAUGGGCGAAAGCCUGACGGAGCAACGCCGCGUGAGUGAUGAAGGUCUUCGGAUCGUAAAACUCUGUUAUUAGGGAAGAACAUAUGUGUAAGUAACUGUGCACAUCUUGACGGUACCUAAGCAGAAAGCCACGGCUAACUACGU